UGGGGAAUAUUGCACAAUGGGCGCAAGCCUGAUGCAGCAACGCCGCGUGAGGGAUGACGGCCUUCGGGUUGUAAACCUCUUUUAGUCAGGAAGAAGCCUGUUUGGGUGACGGUACUGGCAGAAAAAGCACCGGCUAACUACGUGCCAGCAGCCGCGGUAAUACGUAGGGUGCAAGCGUUGUCCGGAAUUAUUGGGCGUAAAGAGCUCGUAGGCGGCUUGUCGCGUCUGUCGUGAAAUCCUCAGGCUCAACCUGAGGCUUGCGGUGGGUACGGGCAGGCUAGAGUGCGGUAGGGGAGAUUGGAAUUCCUGGUGUAGCGGUGGAAUGCGCAGAUAUCAGGAGGAACACCGAUGGCGAAGGCAGAUCUCUGGGCCGUAACUGACGCUGAGGAGCGAAAGCAUGGGGAGCGAACAGG
rnacentral:rRNA from 1 species